AGCGAACGCUGGCGGCAGGCUUAACACAUGCAAGUCGAGCGGGCACUUCGGUGUCAGCGGCAGACGGGUGCGUAACACGUGGGAACGUACCCUUUGGUUCGGAAUAACGCUGGGAAACUAGCGCUAAUACCGGAUACGCCCUUUUGGGGAAAGGCUUGCUGCCGAAGGAUCGUCCCGCGUCUGAUUAGCUAGUUGGUGGGGUAAUGGCCUACCAAGGCGACGAUCAGUAGCUGGUCUGAGAGGAUGAUCAGCAACACUGGGACUGAGACACGGCCCAGACUCCUACGGGAGGCGGCAGUGGGGAAUAGUGGAAAAUGGGGGCAAGCCUGAACCAGCCAUGACGCGUGAGUGAUGAAGGCCUUAGGGUUGUAAAGCGAGUUUGUCCGGGAAGAUAAUGACGGUACCGGAAGAAUAAGCCCCGGCUAACUUCGUG
rnacentral:rRNA from 1 species